rnacentral:tRNA from 1 species
GCAGUCGUGGCCGAGUGGUUAAGGCGUCUCACUCGAAAUCAGAUUUCCUCUGGGAGCGUAGGUUCGAAUCCUACCGGCUGCG